ensembl:misc_RNA Y_RNA Y RNA
GGCUGGUCUGAAGGUAGUAAGUCAUCUCAAUUUAUUGUUCACAGUCUGUUACAGACUGAACUACUUGUUCUACUCUUUCCCCCCUUUUCACUACUGUGCUUGAUGAAUCUUAA